AUUGAACGCUGGCGGCAUGCCUUACACAUGCAAGUCGAACGGUAACAGGUUAAGCUGACGAGUGGCGAACGGGUGAGUAAUGUAUCGGAACGUGCCCAGUCGUGGGGGAUAACUGCUAGAAAGAGCAGCUAAUACCGCAUACGACCUGAGGGUGAAAGCGGGGGAUCGCAAGACCCCGCGCGAAUGGAGCGGCCGAUAUCAGAUUUGGUAGUUGGUGAGGUAAAGGCUCACCAAGCCGACGAUCUGUAGCUGGUCUGAGAGGACGACCAGCCACACUGGGACUGAGACACGGCCCAGACUCCUACGGGAGGCAGCAGUGGGGAAUUUUGGACAAUGGGCGCAAGCCUGAUCCAGCCAUGCCGCGUGCGGGAAGAAGGCCUUCGGGUUGUAAACCGCUUUUGUCAGGGAAGAAAAGGUUCUGGCUAAUACCUGGGACUCAUGACGGUACCUGAAGAAUAAGCACCGGCUAACUACGUGCCAGCCGCCGCCGUAAAAC
rnacentral:rRNA from 1 species